rnacentral:rRNA from 1 species
AAUGAACGCUGGCGGCGUGCCUAACACAUGCAAGUCGAGCGAAAACACCGGGAGCUUUCUCCUCUGACGUUGGCGGGGGACGGAUGAGUCACACGUGGAUCACCUACCUCUCCGACUGGGGUGAUUACGUGAGACCAGAUCUACUACCUGAUAAUAUAUUUCACUGCAUGGUUCAAUCGUUAUAGACGCUUUUGCUGUCUCUUAUAGCUGGUUCCGCGCCGGAUUAGCUAGUUGGUAAGGUAACGGCUUACCAAGGCUACGAUGCGUAGCCGACCUGAGAGGGUGAUCGGACACACAGGAACGGAGACACGGUCCAGACUCCGACGGGAGGCAGCAGUAGGGAAUAUUACGCAAUGGGCGAAAGCUUGAUGGAGCAAAGCCGCGUGAGUGAUGAAGGUCUUCGGAUGGGAAAACGCUGUUGUUAGGGAAGAAGAAAAGUGUAAUUAACCAUGCACGUAAUGACGGUACCUAAAGAAAAAGCAACGGCUAACUACGUG